GACGAACGCUGGCGGCGUGCUUAACACAUGCAAGUCGAACGGAAAGGCCCUGCUUUUGUGGGGUGCUCGAGUGGCGAACGGGUGAGUAACACGUGAGUAACCUGCCCUUGACUUUGGGAUAACUUCAGGAAACUGGGGCUAAUACCGGAUAGGAGCUCCUGCUGCAUGGUGGGGGUUGGAAAGUUUCGGCGGUUGGGGAUGGACUCGCGGCUUAUCAGCUUGUUGGUGGGGUAGUGGCUUACCAAGGCUUUGACGGGUAGCCGGCCCGAGAGGGUGACCGGCCACAUUGGGACUGAAAUACGGCCCAGACUCCUACGGGAGGCAGCAGUGGGGAAUAUUGCACAAUGGGCGGAAGCCUGAUGCAGCAACGCCGCGUGCGGGAUGACGGCCUUCGGGUUGUAAACCGCUUUCGCCUGUGACGAAGCGUGAGUGACGGUAAUGGGUAAAGAAGCACCGGCUAACUACGUG
rnacentral:rRNA from 1 species